UGAAGUUUCGUAUAACGGUAGUACACCAGUUUUUGGAUCUGGUAGCAGGAGUUCGAUUCUCCUAACUUCAACCA
rnacentral:tRNA from 1 species